AACGCNGGCGNCAUGCCUUACACAUGCAAGUCGAACGGCAGCACGGGAGCAAUCNNGGUGGCGAGUGGCGAACGGGUGAGUAAUACAUCGGAACGUGCCCUGUCGUGGGGGAUAACUAGUCGAAAGAUUAGCUAAUACCGCAUACGACCUGAGGGUGAAAGCGGGGGACCGCAAGGCCUCGCGCGAUAGGAGCGGCCGAUGUCUGAUUAGCUAGUUGGUGGGGUAAAGGCCCACCAAGGCGACGAUCAGUAGCUGGUCUGAGAGGACGAUCAGCCACACUGGGACUGAGACACGGCCCAGACUCCUACGGGAGGCAGCAGUGGGGAAUUUUGGACAAUGGGGGCAACCCUGAUCCAGCAAUGCCGCGUGUGUGAAGAAGGCCUUCGGGUUGUAAAGCACUUUUGUCCGGAAAGAAAUCCUCUGCCCUAAUACGGCGGGGGGAUGACGGUACCGGAAGAAUAANCNCCGGCUAACUACGUGCCAGCANCCGCGGUAAUACGNANGGUGCGAGCGUUAAUCGNAAUUACUGGGCGUAAAGCGUGNGCNGGCGGUUUUGUAAGAC
rnacentral:rRNA from 1 species